rnacentral:rRNA from 1 species
GAUGAACGCUGGCGGCGUGCCUAAUACAUGCAAGUCGAGCGAACAGACGAGGAGCUUGCUCCUCUGACGUUAGCGGCGGACGGGUGAGUAACACGUGGAUAACCUACCUAUAAGACUGGGAUAACUUCGGGAAACCGGAGCUAAUACCGGAUAAUAUAUUGAACCGCAUGGUUCAAUAGUGAAAUACGGUUUUGCUGUCACUUAUAGAUUGAUCCGCGCCGCAUUAGCUAGUUGGUAAGGUAACGGCUUACCAAGGCAACGAUGCGUAGCCGACCUGAGAGGGUGCUCGGCCACACUGGAACUGAGACACGGUCCAGACUCCUACGGGAGGCAGCAGUAGGGAAUCUUCCGCAAUGGGCGGAAGAUUGACGGAGCAACCCCGCGUGAGUGAUGAAGGUCUUCGGAUCGUAGAACUCUGUGAUUAGGGAAGAACAAAUGUGUAAGUAACUAUGCACGUCUUGACGGUACCUAAUCAGAAAGCCACGGCUAACUACGUG